rnacentral:rRNA from 1 species
GGCGAACGGGUGAGUAAUGCAUCGGAACGUGCCCAGAGGUGGGGGAUAACGCAGCGAAAGCUGUGCUAAUACCGCAUGUGAUCUGAGGAUGAAAGCGGGGGACCAAGCAGCAAUGUUUGGCCUCGCGCCUCUGGAGCGGCCGAUGUCAGAUUAGGUAGUUGGUGGGGUAAAGGCCUACCAAGCCGACGAUCUGUAGCUGGUCUGAGAGGACGACCAGCCACACUGGGACUGAGACACGGCCCAGACUCC